rnacentral:rRNA from 1 species
UACGUAGGGUGCAAGCGUUGUCCGGAAUUAUUGGGCGUAAAGAGCUCGUAGGCGGUUUGUUGCGUCGGCUGUGAAAUCCCGAGGCUCAACCUCGGGUCUGCAGUCGAUACGAGCAAACUAGAGUGUUGCAGGGGAGACUGGAAUUCCUGGUGUAGCGGUGGAAUGCGCAGAUAUCAGGAGGAACACCGAUAGCGAAGGCAGCUCGCUGGGACGGUACUGACG